UACGGAGGAGGCAAGCGUUAUCCGGAAUUAUUGGGCGUAAAGCGUCCGCAGGUGGCACUUCAAGUCUGCCGUCAAAGACUGGGGCUUAACCCUGGAACGGCGGUGGAAACUGAAGCGCUAGAGUGCGGUAGGGGUAGAGGGAAUUCCCGGUGUAGCGGUGAAAUGCGUAGAGAUCGGGAAGAACAUCGGUGGCGAAAGCGCUCUACUGGACCGCAACUGACACUCAGGGACGAAAGCUAGGGGAGCGAAUGGG
rnacentral:rRNA from 1 species